UGGGGGAAACCCUGAUGCAGCAACGCCGCGUGAGUGAUGAAGGCCUUCGGGUUGUAAAGCUCUGUCUUCAGGGACGAUAAUGACGGUACCUGAGGAGGAAGCCACGGCUAACUACGUGCCAGCAGCCGCGGUAAUACGUAGGUGGCAAGCGUUGUCCGGAUUUACUGGGCGUAAAGGGAGCGUAGGCGGAUACUUAAGUGGGAUGUGAAAUACCUGGGCUUAACUUGGGUGCUGCAUUCCAAACUGGGUGUCUAGAGUGUUGGAGAGGAAAGUGGAAUUCCUAGUGUAGCGGUGAAAUGCGUAGAGAUUAGGAAGAACACCAGUGGCGAAGGCGACUUUCUGGACAAUAACUGACGCUGAGGCUCGAAAGCGUGGGGAGCAAACAGGAUUAGAUACCCUGGUAGUCCACGCCGUAAACGAUGGGUACUAGGUGUAGGGGGUAUCGACUCCCCCUGUGCCGCCGUUAACACAAUAAGUAUUCCACCUGGGGAGUAC
rnacentral:rRNA from 1 species